AGUGAACGCUGGCGGUAGGCCUAACACAUGCAAGUCGAACGGCAGCACAGUAAGAGCUUGCUCUUACGGGUGGCGAGUGGCGGACGGGUGAGGAAUACAUAGGAAUCUACUUUUUCGUGGGGGAUAACGGAGGGAAACUUACGCUAAUACCGCAUACGACCUACGGGUGAAAUCAGGGGAGCUUCGGACCUUGCGCGAUUGAAUGAGCCGAUGUCGGAUUAGCUAGUUGGCGGGGUAAAGGCCCACCAAGGCGACGAUCCGUAGCUGGGCUGAGAGGAUGAUCAGCCACACUGGAACUGAGACACGGUCCAGACUCCUACGGGAGGCAGCAGUGGGGAAUAUUGGGCAAUGGGCGCAAGCCUGAUCCAGCCAUACCGCGUGGGUGAAGAAGGCCUUCGGGUUGUAAAGCCCUUUUGUUGGGAAAGAAAAGCAGCAGGUUAAUACCCCGCUGUUCUGACGGUACCCAAAGAAUAAGCACCGGCUAACUUCGUG
rnacentral:rRNA from 1 species